rnacentral:rRNA from 1 species
AGAGUUUGAUUCUGGCUCAGGAUUAACGCUGGCGGCGUGCCUAAUACAUGCAAGUCGAAUGGUAGCAAUACCAUGGCGAACGGGUGAGUAACACGUAGGUAACCUGUCUUUAAGCCGAGGAUAACCAUUGGAAACGAUGGAUAAUACUGGAUAGGACAUUUGAAGGCAUCUUUAGAUGUUUAAAGAUUUAUCACUUAGAGAGGGGCCUGCGGCGCAUUAGCUAGUUGGUGAGGUGAAGGCUUACCAAGGCGAUGAUGCGUAGCCGGACUGAGAGGUUGAACGGCCACAAUGGAACUGAGAACGGUCCAUACUCCUACGGGAGGCAGCAGUAGGGAAUUUUCGGCAAUGGGCGGAAGCCUGAACCCGAGCAACGCCGCGUGAACGAAGGAGUAUUUCGGUAUGUAAAGUUCUUUUAUUAGGGACGAAAAGACAGAUUGACGGUACCUAAUGAAUAAGCUCCGGCUAACUACGUGCCAGCAGCUGC